UAUGGCUAUAUCACGUUGAAACACCGGUUCAUGCAGGAUCUCCGAAGUUAAGCAACGUAGUGUCUGGUCAGUACCUAGAUGGGUGGCCGCUUGAGAAUACCAGGUGCUGCAAU